AUGGCAACAAUGGCGCCGACCUCCAUCGUCUUCUCCGUGGUCGUCUUCCUGCUCCUUUCCAAUGCCAUCACCACUCAAGCCGGCGGCUCUGGCAGUGGCAAACCUAAGGCAACAAGCCUCAUAGUGGAAGCGUGCAAGAACGCCUCAGGCGAGAGCCAAGACACCGGUGUCACAAAGGAAUUCUGUUUGUCGACCCUCCAGUUGGACAGUCGGAGCGCCAAGGCUAAAGACCUCUGUGACUUGGUGGUCAUCUCGAUUGACAUCCUGAAGGGCCGUGUCAGUGAUGCUGGCGUCAAGGUAAAGAAAAUGCUGCAAAACGCCAAGAAAGGCACGCUGACAAUGUAUGCUCUCAGCAUUUGUGAGUUGCAAUAUGAGAAGGUGGUGAGCACGCUCAACGUCUGCCAAGCUAUGAUUAGGGAUCACCAAGGUGACAAGGGCGACCUGAAGUCAUUGGGUCUACUCCAUUGUGUGGAUAUGACCGGUGAGACAAUCAAAGAGUGCGAAAAUGAGCUUGGAGAUGUGCGAGGGGCGGAGGCGCUGCUUCGUGAAAACGAGGGGUUGCGCAUUCUGGCCAACCUAAACAGAGCCUUGGUUGCACCGUAUGAUGUCUAA
rnacentral:rRNA from 1 species